rnacentral:rRNA from 1 species
GACGAACGCUGGCGGCGUGCUUAACACACGCGAGUCGAACGGUGACGGAGAGCUUGCUCUCCUGAUCAGUGGCGAACGGGUGAGUAACACGUGGGCAACCUGCCCAGACUUCGGGAUAACGCUUCGAAAGAGGUGCUAAUACCGAAUACGAACCUCCCUGGCAUCUGGGAGGUUGGAAAGUUUUUCGGUCUGGGAUGGGCCCGCGGCCUAUCAGCUUGUUGGUGAGGUAACGGCUCACCAAGGCGACGACGGGUAGCCGGCCUGAGAGGGCGACCGGCCACACUGGGACUGAGACACGGCCCAGACUCCUACGGGAGGCAGCAGUGGGGAAUAUUGCGCAAUGGGCGAAAGCCUGACGCAGCAACGCCGCGUGAGGGAUGACGGCCU